rnacentral:rRNA from 1 species
GCGUAACGCGUAUGCAACUUACCCUUAACAGGGGGAUAGCCUUCCGAAAGGAAGAAUAAUACCCCAUAGUAUUUCAAAGAGGCAUCUCUUUGUUCUUAAAACUCCGGUGGUUAAGGAUAGGCAUGCGUCCUAUUAGCUAGUUGGUAAGGUAAUGGCUUACCAAGGCUACGAUAGGUAGGGGGCCUGAGAGGGUUGUCCCCCACACUGGUACUGAGACACGGACCAGACUCCUACGGGAGGCAGCAGUGAGGAAUAUUGGUCAAUGGACGAAAGUCUGAACCAGCCAUGCCGCGUGCAGGAAGACGGCCUUCUGGGUUGUAAACUGCUUUUAUAUGGGAAGAAAAAGGUCUUGCGAGACAAAUUGCCGGUACC